GGGUGAGUAAUGCCUGGGAAACUGCCUGAUGGAGGGGGAUAACUACUGGAAACGGUAGCUAAUACCGCAUAACGUCGCAAGACCAAAGAGGGGGACCUUCGGGCCUCUUGCCAUCGGAUGUGCCCAGAUGGGAUUAGCUAGUAGGUGGGGUAACGGCUCACCUAGGCGACGAUCCCUAGCUGGUCUGAGAGGAUGACCAGCCACACUGGAACUGAGACACGGUCUAGACUCCUACGGGAGGCAGCAGUGGGGAACAUUGCACAAUGGGCGCAAGCCUGAUGCAGCCAUGCCGCGUGUAUGAAGAAGGCCUUCGGGUUGUAAAGUACUUUCAGCGGGGAGGAAGGCGAUAAGGUUAAUAACCUUGUCGAUUGACGUUACCCGCAGAAGAAGCACCGGCUAACUCCGUGCCAGCGGCCGCGGUAAUACGGAGGGUGCAAGCGUUAAUCGGAAUUACUGGGCGUAAAGCGCACGCAGGCGGUCUGUCAAGUCGGAUGUGAAAUCCCCGGGCUCAACCUGGGAACUGCAUUCGAAACUGGCAGGCUAGAGUCUUGUAGAGGGGGGUAGAAUUCCAGGUGUAGCGGUGAAAUGCGUAGAGAUCUGGAGGAAUACCGGUGGCGAAGGCGGCCCCCUGGACAAAGACUGACGCUCAGGUGCGAAAGCGUGGGGAGCAAACAGGAUUAGAUACCCUGGUAGUCCACGCCGUAAACGAUGUCGACUUGGAGGUUGUGCCCUUGAGGCGUGGCUUCCGGAGCUAACGCGUUAAGUCGACCGCCUGGGGA
rnacentral:rRNA from 1 species